rnacentral:rRNA from 1 species
AAAGGCCUGCAGCUUGCUGCGGGUACUCGAGUGGCGAACGGGUGAGUAACACGUGGGUGAUCUGCCUUGCACUUCGGGAUAAGCUUGGGAAACUGGGUCUAAUACCGGAUAGGACAGCUGUUUAGUGUCAGUUGUGGAAAGUUUUUUCGGUGCAAGAUGAGCUCGCGGCCUAUCAGCUUGUUGGUGGGGUAAUGGCCUACCAAGGCGUCGACGGGUAGCCGGCCUGAGAGGGUGUACGGCCACAUUGGGACUGAGAUACGGCCCAGACUCCUACGGGAGGCAGCAGUAGGGAAUCUUCCGCAAUGGGCGAAAGCCUGACGGAGCAACGCCGCGUGAGUGAUGAAGGUCUUCGGAUCGUAAAACUCUGUUAUUAGGGAAGAACAAAUGUGUAAGUAACUAUGCACGUCUUGACGGUACCUAAUCAGAAAGCCACGGCUAACUACGUGCCAGCAGCCGCGGUAAUACGUAGGUGGCAAGCGUUAUCCGGAAUUAUUGGGCGUAAAGCGCGCGUAGGCGGUUUUUUAAGUCUGAUGUGAAAGCCCACGGCUCAACCGUGGAGGGUCAUUGGAAACUGGAAAACUUGAGUGCAGAAGAGGAAAGUGGAAUUCCAUGUGUAGCGGUGAAAUGCGCAGAGAUAUGGAGGAACACCAGUGGCGAAGGCGACUUUCUGGUCUGUAACUGACGCUGAUGUGCGAAAGCGUGGGGAUCAAACAGGAUUAGAUACCCUGGUAGUCCACGCCGUAAACGAUGAGUGCUAAGUGUUAGGGGGUUUCCGCCCCUUAGUGCUGCAGCUAACGCAUUAAGCACUCCGCCUGGGGAGUACGACCGCA